rnacentral:rRNA from 1 species
CCGACGACCGGCGCACGGGUGCGUAACGCGUAUACAAUCUACCUUAUACUGGGGGAUAGCCUUUAGAAAUGAAGAUUAAUACCCCAUGGUCUAUAGAUAUGGCAUCAUAUUUAUAGUAAAGGUUACGGUAUAAGAUGAGUAUGCGUCCUAUUAGUUAGUUGGUGUGGUAACGGCACACCAAGACUACGAUAGGUAGGGGCCCUGAGAGGGGGAUCCCCCACACUGGUACUGAGACACGGACCAG